GAUGAACGCUGGCGGCGUGCCUAAUACAUGCAAGUCGAGCGAACGGACGAGAAGCUUGCUUCUCUGAUGUUAGCGGCGGACGGGUGAGUAACACGUGGAUAACCUACCUAUAAGACUGGGAUAACUUCGGGAAACCGGAGCUAAUACCGGAUAAUAUUUUGAACCGCAUGGUUCAAAAGUGAAAGACGGUCUUGCUGUCACUUAUAGAUGGAUCCGCGCUGCAUUAGCUAGUUGGUAAGGUAACGGCUUACCAAGGCAACGAUGCAUAGCCGACCUGAGAGGGUGAUCGGCCACACUGGAACCGAGACACGGUCCAGACUCCUACGGGAGGCAGCAGUAGGGAAUCUUCCGCAAUGGGCGAAAGCCUGACGGAGCAACGCCGCGUGAGUGAUGAAGGUCUUCCGAUCGUAAAACUCUGUUAUUAGGGAAGAACAUAUGUGUAAGUAACUGUGCACAUCUUGACGGUACCUAAUCAGAAAGCCACGGCUAACUACGUG
rnacentral:rRNA from 1 species